rnacentral:rRNA from 1 species
UACAGAGACUGCAAGCGUUAUUCGGAUUCACUGGGCGUAAAGGGUGCGCAGGCGGCCGAGUGUGUGAGGCGUGAAAGCCCGAUGCUUAACAUCGGAAUUGCACCUCAAACUACACGGCUAGAGCAUUGGAGAGGGUAGCAGAAUUCAUGGUGUAGCAGUGAAAUGCGUAGAUAUCAUGAGGAAUACCGAGGCGAAGGCGGCUACCUGGACAAUUGCUGACGCUCAGGCACGAAAGCGUGGGGGAGCAAAAAGGG